rnacentral:rRNA from 1 species
CCUACGGGUGGCAGCAGUGAGGAAUCUUCCACAAUGGGCGCAAGCCUGAUGGAGCAACGCCGCGUGCGGGAAGAAGGGUUUAGGCUCGUAAAACUCUGUUGUUGGAAGAGAAAAUGCGUGAACGUGACUGUUGACGCAGUGACGGUAUCAAAACGGAUCGUCAAGGCUAACUCCAUGACAGCCGCCGCGAUAAUAGGUAGGAGACGAGCGUUAUCCGGAUUGAUUGGGAUGAAACCGAGUGGAGGCGGUUGGUUAGGUCAGAUGUGAAGGCCUUCGGCUUAACCGAAGAAGUGCAUCGGAUACUGUGGAACUUGAGUGCAGAAGAGGUAAGCGGAAUGUAAGGUGUAGCGGUGGAAUGCGUAGAUAUAAGGCAGAACACCAGUUGCGAAGGCGGCUUUCUGGUCUGCAACUGACGCUGAGGCUCGAAAGCAUGGGGAGCGAACAGGAUUAGAUACCCGUGUAGUC